GGUCGGUCCUGCGGCUUCGGGUUGUGGCUCCUGUAGGCGGUGCCGCUCCUCGGAGCGUCUCCAGCUCCGGAAGAGAAUCCUUGGACUGAUUGGACUUCUUCCUUCUGCUAUUGUUGCCUGGUGCCUUUCAUGCUAGUGGUUGCUCUGUCGAGGUCUAUAAGCUCCAAGUGAGACCCACGGAGAAUAAUGUUGACUUCUUCUGUGUGAUGACACUGACCAUAACAACAUUUUGCUUCAAAAGAGAUGUCUGAAAGUCUUCAGAAAGUGAGUUGCAUGGGUAAGUCUCAAAUGGCUGUCAGCUUCAAAGUCUAUCAAAAUUUUGUUAUGCAUUUGGGAAAUCCUCCUGUUAUUAUGAUCUAACUUCAGACAUGUAAAAGAAGUGAAACUGCAGCUUUAGUAAACUAAAGAAUGUAAAUUUUCAAGAUC
rnacentral:lncRNA from 1 species